rnacentral:lncRNA from 1 species
GUGGGUUUUUUUCAUAUCUUUUACAAAUUGUUGAUCUAUUAUUUCUAAAUUAAUCCAAAUAUGAUUAAAGUUGUACACAAGUUGAGAUGUUUCAUGUGAUAUUAUGAAUUUAUAUAAAGAUUGAAAGCUUUUUUGAAAUGGUGCUGGUGUAAAAUAAAUAAAGGAUAACCCGGCCCUUCUGGCCUCUGGAUACGUUUCUUUCUUUCUUUCUUUUUUUCUUUCUUUCUUUCUUUCUUUCUUUCUUUCUUUCUUUCUUUCUUUCUUUCAGUAUUAACCUUAAUCAAAUGAUAAUAAUAAUAAUAAUAAUAAACCUCACUCAUUUGCAUGUUUAUCAUCAGAUAAACCAGUGGAUUGAAAUCC